AAAACCUGCCCGGGACCAGGUGAACGAGAGAGAAGGUUAAUGACCAGCCAGCAAACACAGAGCACGAGUUUGUGAGAUAAGAAAGACGACUUCAAACAGACGCACGAGAAGCCAAGAGAGAAAGGAAAAACACCAGAGUGACCAGACCAAAUAAAGUGUGCAGACAGACAGACAGACAAGCAGAAGGUCAGGAAGCCUGACAUGUGGAAAGAAGUGCUGCAGAUUCUUUUGUUAUCAAACUUUUAGAAUUUGAUGUGGCCACAAAGCGAGACGUGCUCUCGCUGCUGCUGCUGAAACCGACGCAGAUUAGAUCCAUCUGCAAUGGUUUCUGCCGGAAGUAGGAAAUAUGAACAGCUGGGAUGUCAGAAGUGUCGACCUGCAGCCUCGUUGUCAGGCUACGUUCACACUUUUCAUUUUAGAACGGCCUCU